GCAGAAGGCUCAACAGAACGCCAGAUUACUAUCACUGGAUCCCCUGCCAACAUAAGCCUUGCACAGUACCUCAUUAAUGCAAGGCUAACAUCUGAAGUCUCUGGAAUGGGCUCACUUUAAUUGUUUCUUCAUCUCCUGCUGUUUGUGUCAUGUUACCCACCUACAUAAACCACAAGCAACCUGCUAUCGCACCCUGUUUGUAAAAUUUGUAUAUUACAGUCUUGCCUCAUAGACAAUACUUAAUGUUAAAUUUUAAGGAAUUAUUCUGAACUACUUUUCUAAUUCCAAUGCUUUCUGGCUAGACCCUCCUUUCCCAUUGCUUCGUGCUUUAAUGUAGGUUUUUGGUUCCACGUUUAAAUUAACUAUUGCUUGCGAAAAGUGUAUUUGCAGACUAUUUCUUCUGUAUACUUUUUAGUUCAGUAAUUACUGGUAACAUGAUUGCAAACUCUUUUUAUAAAAAAAAAACAACCUUGAUGUAAUCCAAUUAUUUGUAGUUGUUCUAUUUGGUUAUAAUAAAGGAAGGCACAUGUCCUGCUAUGUGCUGAAAUACAACCUA